AGUGAACGCUGGCGGUAGGCCUAACACAUGCAAGUCGAACGGCAGCACAGGAGAGCUUGCUCUCUGGGUGGCGAGUGGCGGACGGGUGAGGAAUACAUCGGAAUCUACUCUGUCGUGGGGGAUAACGUAGGGAAACUUACGCUAAUACCGCAUACGACCUAAGGGUGCAUGCAGGUGACCGUCGGGCCUUGCGCGAUUGAAUGAGCCGAUGUCGGAUGAGCUAGUUGGCGGGGUAAAGGCGCACCAAGGCGACGAUCCGUAGCUGGUCUGAGAGGAUGAUCAGCCACACUGGAACUGAGACACGGUCCAGACUCCUACGGGAGGCAGCAGUGGGGAAUAUUGGACAAUGGGCGCAAGCCUGAUCCAGCCAUACCGCGUGGGUGAAGAAGGCCUUCGGGUUGUAAAGCCCUUUUGUUGGGAAAGAAAUCCAGCUGGCUAAUACCCGGUUGGGAUGACGGUACCCAAAGAAUAAGCACCGGCUAACUUCGUGCCAGCCGCCGCAGUAA
rnacentral:rRNA from 1 species